CCCGGCAAUAAAGUGAGUGCUUCCCUAUAAGAGGCAUUCUAUUGGCUGAUCACCACAUUCGAUUGGCACUUUAAAGUCUCUUCCAGAAUGUAUCAAAACUACAUUGUAUCUUCCUAUUAAUACAUUAUUACUUGUGCAUUAGCAAUGCCAUCAUUACUUGUGAAUUAGCAGUGCCAUCUAGUGGUCUUGCGAAAAAAAGUAAGUUGGGGAUAAACAAAGGAGAUCCAUUUUUACCAAAUAAAAUCUUCUAAAAUUGAAAAUUCGAAAUAUAAACUUACUAAGUUAUACAGUGCUUCCUUAGCAUGUUUUGUUCAUUAAUUUAGCAAGAAGUAGCAUUAUGAAAUGCAACUCUCAAAGGAAACUGCAGAGAGGCUAUUUCUGGCAGAGAGACUUGUAGUAGAAGAGGUAGAAGGAUGAUAAUGUUUUGCAGGGUAUAAAUGAUUCUCGUUAAAUCAAGACUUAGCUAAAUCCUACAAUCAAGGUGUUGGAGCAGAGUGGCCCCAAAGUUGUCUUGUUAUUUCAUCAAGAUGGACAAUAGUUGGUUUAGGGAACACAUUAAGAAUGCAACAAAACAAGCACACACCAUGCAUGCCACAAAAUACAGGCUCUCCAGGGUUCGGUGUAAUACUAAAGUACAAUGAUUUAUAUGGGAACAUCACAGACACAUCUUAAAUUUAAAAAAAUAAAUAAAUACUCGGCUCAUGUCUUUGAAGUAUGGUUAGGAUCUUAAUACCUGAAAUGUAAAGCCUUCUUUUACAUACUAAAACAAACACUUCCAUUCUUCCCUUAUAAACUUACCUGCCAGCAGUCUACUGCUCCAGGAUUUCCAUUUGUUUGAUAACACAUUAAGCAUGGUUCCCCAAAUUGUCUACUCACAGUGCUCUAAAUGGCUAAAUCAAUUCAGGGAUUUAAAUUCCAAGUCCUACACUACUAGCCAGGCAAUAAAGGUUACUCACCACUACAAACCUGGAGGGUCUAUGGACACUCAUCACAGGUCAAUUUCUACUAUCUAUGGCUAACUUUUCAUUUGGUUUUGCUGAGUGGAAUUUGUGAGUCCGGAUAAUAUAAGAUUAUUUUACCAAGAAAGGUACAUUGGUUUGUCACCGGUUUUCAAGCACCUUAUGUGGUCUAUAUGUUAUCAUCACCAAACUUAUUACUUGUAUAAAGUUCAAAAGAAUGGACGGGGGAGUUGAUUUUGGAGUUAAUCACAAACUGAGAUUAAUCACGUAUACUCUACUGACAGAGGUAGCUGAGCUGAUUUGUAGACAGACAAUAAGAGUCCAAAAGCAAUUCCCAGAAUUCAUCACCUCUCCAGUUAGCAGGGACUGGGAUCUUCAGUGUGAAAUUAAAGAUCCUCUCAUGGUGAUUAUGGUUCAGUAAAUUAUCACAGAGUGAAUGAGGAUGCGCUCUGCAGUAAGAGGAAAGAAAAGUUAAUUCUCAGCUAUCUUCAACAGCAGACACAUGAUAACAUUACCAAUAUUACUGAGGAUCAACAAAUUAAUCAAUACAAUGUGGCAAAACUAAUUAUUUAAAAUUCACAUUAUCCCAUAAAACACACUCAUGGGCUGCAGGACCCCUUAUCAAUCAUCUCUGGGAUUAAAUGGGAACCAUCAUUUGUCUGGAAAUUACAUCAUACAAUAAAACAUUGACAAUUACAUAUAAUUUGUGUUAAUCUGUUUUUCAUGCGGUGCUCCAUUUAUUUUAAAUGUAUAUUGUUUGGGCAGAUGAUGUCACAAUCCAGCAAACUGCAUGGACACACAUUGGAUGAGGAGAGACAUAACGGAUAGGGUUGUGGGUCGCUUUCACACGUAUUGGCUUCGCAUGUGCUUUUACCUUCAGAAUAAAAACAUUACUCCGUCUUAUAUAUAUAUAUAUUGAAGCCUUUUCCUACCUGUGUAUCCAAAAGCGGCGGAAUCACUUAUUGGAAAGAGAAGUCACAUAUUUUGCAUUAAAAACAACAAAUCUGCGAACAAAAGAAAGAGACAAAAUAAAGCAGAAAAGGGUCCAUGAAAACAAUGUCACAGUAAGAAAUGUUUUGGUGGAAAUAAGGAAAUAAACCGGAGCGGAGAGAUAAAGUGCCAGAUAACCAACAUUAAAAGGAGAACAUAGCACAUUGUAUAUGAAAAAUAAAAUGAGUUAAAUAUGUGUCACUAUAGAGAGAGUGGGGUGGGUCCCAGAGCCCAGGGGUUAUUCAUACAGUGUGGGGG
rnacentral:lncRNA from 1 species